UUAGAACCUUUUUAUUAUUUUCAAGUUAAUCAACUUAAUGAAUACAAAUUGACAUUUAUACUAAGCUACAACCUGCUCCACACACACGAGUUUGUUACAUCACAUAACCAUUUGCUGCAUAACUAAUUUUACACAUCAGCUCAAUCAGCUAACUAACUUUGACAGGUCAGCUCAGUGAGUUGAUAUGCUACAACCAGCUACACAGCAACAGCAUGCUCUGCUCUAGCUAUACAACAACAUCAUGCUCUGCUCCAGCUUCAUCCAAUUCACUAACAUCCCCCCUCAAGCUGAAAUGUUUAGGAUGAACAUUCAGCUUGUCUAUGAAGUAACUAAAUUGUUUGAAAGUAAGAGCCUUAGUCAACACAUCUGUUGUUUGAUCUUGACUAGGCACAUAGCAUACUGGAACUUCUUUAGCAGUGACCUUAUCCCGGAUGAAAUGUAUAUCCAAUUCAACAUGCUUAGUCUUAGCAUGAUAAACUAGAUUAUAAGCUAAAGCAAUGGCCCCUUGAUUAUCACACAACAUCAUAGGAGUAGAGCUUAAUUUGAUACUAAGUUCACCAAGUAAAGAUUUGAUCCAGGUAACCUCUGAAGCAGCAUGAGCAAGAGAUCUAUACUCAGCUUCUGUGCUGGAUCUGGAAACAACAUCUUGUUUCUUUGAUGACCAGGAAACAAUAUUAGGACCUAGAUAAACAGCAAAGUCAGCCACUGACUUCCUAUCAUCAUGAUCACAGGCCCAGUCAGAAUCUGAAAAACAAUGCAAUUGCAGAGCUCCUUGAUUGGAGAAAUGCAGCCCCAUAUGGAUAGUGCCUUUUAAGUACCUCAAUAACCUUUUACAUGCUUCCCAAUGUUGAGUUCUAAGACUAGAAAGAAACUGACUUAACUUGUUUACAGAGAAAGCAAUGUCAGGUCUGGUAAGAGUAACAUAUUGAAGAGCUCCUAUAACACUUCGAUAUUGAGAAACAUUUUCAAGUGGCUCUCCUGAGGCUUUGGUGAGAUAAAAACCUGUAGACAUUGGAGUGGGCAUAAGACUGCAGUCUGUCAUGCCAUGUUUGUCCAGAAUAUCAGCAAUGUACUUGGCUUGUGUCAAGGAAACCGCUUGUGAAGAUUUGCUGACUUCAAUCCCCAGAAAAUAGUGAAGUUCCCCCAGGUCUUUUAAAGCAAAAGCUUGAUGCAUAUUCUGGAUAACUUGUUGAACUAUGGAUGGACUGGAACCAGUGAUAAUAAUAUCAUCAACAUAGACCAAAACAAUAGUUAGAUGACCACUGUUCCAGGCAUAAAAGAGAGAGUUAUCAGACCUUGAAUGCUGAAAAUGCCACUGGAAAAUUAUUGCACCCUUAAACCUAUCAAACCAGACUCUAGAAGUCUGUUUUAAGCCAUACAAAGCCUUAUUUAGCUUACAAACAUGAGUAGGUUUAGUUGAAUCAACAAAACCUUGAGGUUGAGCCAUGUACACAUCCUCAAUUAAUAUGUCAUUUAGAAAGGCAUUGUUAACAUUCACCUGCCUUACAACCCAGUGAUUCAAAAUUGCUAAGCUUAGAAUAACUCUAACAGUGGAAGACUUAACCGCUGGACUGAAAGUUUCUGUGUAGUCAAUCCCAUGUGUCUGAUGAAACCCUUUAACCACAAGCCUGGCUUUAUACCUUGAAACUGAACCAUCUGAGUUAUACUUUACUCAAAAUACCCACUUGCUGCCAACUAUCUUCACUGGAGUAGCAGGUAAGACUAAAUCCCAGGUGUGAUUGGUUUUAAGAGCUAGAUACUCUUCUUGCAUAGCUUUAUACCACAUAGGAUCAGAAAGUGCUUUGGAAACAGAAGUUGGUUCUAAUUUUUGGGCUAGUAAAGCUGACGAAUAAACCUUGGGCUUGAAGAUGCCUGCUUUUGACCUGGUUAUCAUUGGAUGACCAGAUAAUGCAGGUUGUGACAAAGUAUGUGGAGGUGAAUGAUGGGAUGGUGGAGAAUGAGAAGAAGAAGAAGUGGAAUUGAAAUUAUCAGAAAAGUAAACUGGAGUAGAAUUUGGGAAUGAAAUAGAAGCAUUUGAUUGAGGAUCAUUAAGAUGAUGUUCUGAUGAUUCUGCUAAAGGUGCUUGUAACUGAGUAACAGAAGGAGUAGAAGAACUAAAAGAAUACUCAGAAUGUGUGGAUGACUGACAGCUUGAAAAGACUGAAGAAAAAUCUGCUCUUGACUCAUAAGGAAAAGAACUUUCUUCAAAGGUUACAUGAUUUGAAAUAUACACCUUCCUAGAAGAGUGAAGACACUGAUACCCCUUGUGUUGUGAACUGUAGCCAAUGAAAAUACAUCUAGCUGUUCUGAAAUCAAACUUAUGUCUAUUGUAUGGUCUGAGUGUUGGAUAACAAGCACAACCGAAAAUUUUAAGUGUUGAAUAAUCUGGUGGGGAAUGAAACAACUUUUGAAAAGGAGAAAUACUGUUUAGAACUGGAGUUGGAAGUCUGUUUAUCAAAUAGACAGCUGUAUGGAAUGCAUUCCACCAAAAUUUGAGUGGUAAAUGUGCUUGAGCUAAUAAAGUCAGCCCUAAAUCAACUAUGUGUCUAUGUUUCCUCUCAAUUUUGCCAUUUUGAUGAUGAAUGUGGGGACAAGGAUGUCGAAAAUGGAUACCAGAAUUAGUGAGUAAUAAUGAAAAAGUUCUGAACUCCCCUCCCCAGUCAGUUUGGACAGUUUUGAUAGAAAGUUGAAGAUGCUUUUCAAUGAAUGUUUUGAAAUUGUUAAAAACUUCAAGAGCAUCAGAGUUUGCUGACAAGGGAAAUAUCCAGGUAAACCUACUGUAAUCAUCUAGGAUUGACAAGUAGUAAUUAUAUCCUUGGGUAGAACAAACAUGAGAGGGGCCCCAAAGGUCUGCAUAUAUCAGUUGUAAAGGUGCUGAAGUUUUUGUUUCUACUGAAUCAAAAUGCAGCAUGUGAUUUUUCCCAUAUUGACAUGCUAAACAAAAUUUCAAACUGUCAACUUUAUUAAAAGCAGUAGAGUUGUUACAAGCUUUGAGAAUAGUUUUGAGAGUAUAAGAUGCUGGGUGUCCUAAUCUUCUAUGAAGAAGAUUUACAUCAAUAGAACCCUUUGCAACAACUGACAGACAUGACUUUUUAUUCAACUCAUAAGAACUAACAGUAGAGAGCUGAGCAGAAUUAAAAAUAGGAGAACAAGCAAAAAGAGACUGAAUUUUGUUUUGACCAACUGAACUGAGAAAGACUGAAUAAGCAGCAGCAUGUGAAGAGACUCUAUACAAGCCACCUUUAGCAACACUUUCAAGUAAAAUUUUCCCUGUGUUCCUGGCCUUUAUAACACACAAAUCACCAAGAAAUUCAACAAUAACUGGAUUGUUAGCCAAUAAUUUUGAGAUGCUAAGCAAAUUCUUAGUAAUAAAAGGGACAUGAAGAACAUGGUUAAGAAAUAAAGAUUGAGAAGUUGAAGUGUUUAGCACAACUGACCCUACAUGUGUAAUGGCUAAUGCAUUUCCAUCUCCAACAAAUAACUUUUCAGUACCAGUAUAAGCUUUUGAAUCCAGAAGCUUACCUAGAUCAUUUGUAAUGUGGUUUGUUGCUCCACUAUCAAUAUACCAAGAAGGAUCUUCAAUGUGUUCUGGUGGAAGUGAAGAAGACAUAACUGAGCAAGAUGAAGUACUUGACUGUCCAAGAUUAUUAUAUCCUUGACCAGAAACAAAAUUAGAUGAUCCAGGGGUGAAUGAGUAAUAAGCAGAUGGGUUGCUCUCUGGAUAUACUAUAUUUCCUUGAUAGCCAAAACCCCUGGGAGCAUUACCAAAACCAACAUUUUGUCCAAACCCAGCAUUUGAACCAAAACCUCCAAAACCUCUUCCACUAUUACCAUUAAAGGCUCUUCCUCUACCGUAUUGCCCUUGAUUAAAACCUUUGCCACCAUUCAUAUUACCUCUACCAUGAUUCCUCUGUGGAACAAAAGAUGAGUUGAACCUAUUUCUGCAUCUAUAGGCUGCAUAACCAGGUAUGAAGCAAAUUUGGCAAACAACUUCAGAGGAACUACUACCAUUGUUAAACUGACCAUAUCCAUAUCCAUUAAAACCUCCAUAUCCAGAAUUGUUACCACCUCCAGAGUUAUUUCCAUACUGUUUCUGAAAAUUUCCAUUAUUCUUUCCAGCAUAUGAGUUCUUCUAAACAAUAUUUGCUGUCAUGUUAUGCAUCACAUCACCGGCAAUUUUUCCUUUCUUUUGCUCAACUCUAUUUUCAUGAUUCAACAGCAAAGAAUAUAGUUCAUCUAAUGUUAUUUUUUCACCUCGAGCUAACACAACAAUGACUAAAGAUUCAUAAUCUGAUGAAUCAAGACCAGUUAAUACAUGCAUCACAAGAUCAUUUAACUCAACAGGUUUUCCAGCUAGAGCUAAAGUAUCAGCUAUACGUUUUACUUUUACAAAGUAAUCAGACAUAUGCAUUGCACCUUUCUUAAUAGUUUGAAUCUGCAUUCUAAGCGUUUGAAUUCUAGCUUGUGAUUGAGAGAUAAACAUACUAGCAAGAGUCUCCCAAAGCUGUUUUGAGGUUGUUGAGUCAAUCACAGUAGCAAGCAGAUUUUGCUGUAUCGAUGACAUCAUCCAACUCAGCAGAAGUUGAUCAGCCUUCAUCCAAGCUAUGAACUCUGGAUUAACAGAUCUGGAUCCAGAUUCAGUUAAAAUUUCAGCUCCAUUGUUGUUGCUAGAAGAAAUAAAUUGUUCAGGACAUUCUCGAUCACCAUUGAUAAAACCUUCCAAACCAUUCCCUUUGAUCGAAGCUAGAAUUUAUGUGCGCCACAAAAUAUAAUUGUUUUGAUCUAGCUUUAUAGACAUAACAAAACUAAAAGAGUUGUUGUUUUGAAUUGUAUUUGCCAUUUAUGGCUCUGAUACCAUGAAAGAAACUUAGUUCUAUAGUGUUUGGCAAGCAAGAAAAUAAAAGAAAAUGAAAGAGAACUCUUUAGAACCUUUUUAUUAUUUUCAAGUUAAUCAACUUAAUGAAUACAGAUUGACAUUUAUACUAAGCUACAACCUGCUCCACACGCACGAGUUUGUUACAUCACAUAACCAUUUGCUGCAUAACUAAUUUUACACAUCAGCUCAACCAGCUAACUAACUUUGACAGGUCAGCUCAGUGAGUUGAUAUGCUACAACCAGCUACACAGCAACAGCAUGCUCUGCUCUAGCUAUACAGCAACAUCAUGCUCUGCUCCAGCUUCAUCCAAUUCACUAACAGUCUUGCUCUUGGAAAAAUAACACGAAGACAUAAGAAAUCUUACGGUUUGAACUGAAGUAACCCCCCUUUGAUAUUUUAGAGAUUGCUUC
rnacentral:lncRNA from 1 species